rnacentral:rRNA from 1 species
UUAGAGAGUAUAAAAACUCCCAACCCAUGUGAACAUACCUACGUUGCCUCGGUGGGGGCUAAACCCCCCGCCGAUGGCCCAUCAAACUCUGUUUUAUUUUGAAAUUCUGAAUCUUAAAGCAAAUAAGUUAAAACUUUCAACAACGGAUCUCUUGGUUCUGGCAUCGAUGAAGAACGCAGCGAAAUGCGAUAAGUAAUGUGAAUUGCAGAAUUCAGUGAAUCAUCGAAUCUUUGAACGCACAUUGCGCCCAUUAGUAUUCUAGUGGGCAUGCCUGUUCGAGCGUCAUUGAAACUCAUUAAGCCCUGUUGCUUAGCGUUGGGAGCCUGCCGGCCUGGCCCGCAGCUCCUCAAAACUAGUGGCGGAGUCAGUGUAUACUCUAGGCGUAGUAAUUUCAACUCGCUUCUGUGGUUGCGCUGGCGCCUGCCGUAAAACCCCCAACUUCCAAAGUUUGACCUCGGAUCAGGUAGGAAUACCCGCUGAACUUAAGCAUAUCAAUAAGCGGAGGAAAAGAAACCAACAGGGAUUGCCCUAGUAACGGCGAGUGAAGCGGCAACAGCUCAAAUUUGAAAUCUGGCUUUCGGGCCCGAGUUGUAAUUUGUAGAGGAUGCUUUUGGCGCGGUGCCUUCCGAGUUCCCUGGAACGGGACGCCUUAGAGGGUGAGAGCCCCGUACGGUUGGACACCAAGCCUCUGUAAAGCUCCUUCGACGAGUCGAGUAGUUUGGGAAUGCUGCUCUAAAUGGGAGGUAAAUUUCUUCUAAAGCUAAAUACCGGCCAGAGACCGAUAGCGCACAAGUAGAGUGAUCGAAAGAUGAAAAGCACUUUGAAAAGAGGGUUAAAUAGCACGUGAAAUUGUUGAAAGGGAAGCGUUUGCGACCAGACCUUUUCUUAGCGGAUCAUCCGGUGUUUUCACCGGUGCACUUCGCUAGGUUUAGGCCAGCAUCGGUUUCUGCGGGGGGAUAAAAGCUUAGGGA